CUCCUGAUGGCACAGUUGGUAGCGCGUUGGACUGUAAAAGCAAUUAUAGAUAUCCACAGGUCGCGUGUUCGAAUCACGCUCGGGAGA